GGGGAUGUAGCUCAGUGGUAGAACACUGGCCUCAAAUGCCAGAGGCCCCGGGAUGGAUCCCAGUAUGGACCCCA
rnacentral:tRNA from 1 species